UACGGAGGGUGCGAGCGUUAAUCGGAAUUACUGGGCGUAAAGCGCACGUAGGCUGCGUUGUAAGUCAGGGGUGAAAUCCCGCGGCUCAACCGCGGAACUGCCCUUGAUACUGCAGUGCUUGAAUCCGGGAGAGGGUGGCGGAAUUCCAGGUGUAGGAGUGAAAUCCGUAGAUAUCUGGAGGAACAUCAGUGGCGAAGGCGGCCGCCUGGACCGGUAUUGACGCUGAGGUGCGAAAGCGUGGGGAG
rnacentral:rRNA from 1 species